UACGUAGGGGGCAAGCGUUGUCCGGAUUUAUUGGGCGUAAAGAGCGUGUAGGCGGCCAGACAGGGCCGUUGUGAAAACUCGAGGCUCAACCUCGAGAUGUCGAUGGAAACCGUCUGGCUAGAGUCCGGAAGAGGAGUGUGGAAUUCCUGGUGUAGCGGUGAAAUGCGCAGAUAUCAGGAAGAACACCUAUGGCGAAGGCAGCACUCUGGGACGGUACUGACGCUGAGACGCGAAAGCGUGGGGAGCGAACAGG
rnacentral:rRNA from 1 species